UACGGGGGAUCCGAGCGUUAUCCGGAAUUAUUGGGUUUAAAGGGUGCGUAGGCGGCCAUUUAAGUCAGCGGUGAAAUUUUGCAGCUUAACUGUAACAGUGCCGUUGAUACUGUUUGGCUAGGAUUUGGUUGUAGUGUGCGGAAUGUGUGGUGUAGCGGUGAAAUGCUUAGAUAUCACACAGAACACCGAUUGCGAAGGCAGCACACUAAGUCAUUAUUGACGCUGAGGCACGAAAGUGUGGGGAUCAAACAGGAUUAGAUA
rnacentral:rRNA from 1 species